rnacentral:lncRNA from 1 species
AAUUUUGGGAAUAAAUUGGAAGAAAUCUCUCAUUGGGAGAAAUGGAUUCUAUUCUACGACUGACCAGCAUUUUGACUUGGUUGCUCUCUGGCUUGUGGCACGUUGGAUUAACAGCGACAAAUUACAACUGUGAUGACCCAUUGGCCUCCUUCCUCUCACCAGUUGCUUACUCCAGUUCCUCAGAUAUCACUGGAAGUACCAGCUCAGCUCAACUGAAUUGGAGAAUGGGAACUGGCGGUUGGUCCCCAGCAGAUUCCAGUGCCCAUCAGUGGCUACAGUUGGACCUGGGAAACAGAGUAGAGAUUACAGCAGUGGCUACACAGGGAAGAUAUGGGAGUGCUGACUGGGUGACAAGCUAUCACCUGAUGUUUAGUGACACAGGGCACAACUGGCAACAGUACAAGCAAGAAAACAGCAUAUGGGUAGGCAAUACUUUUCUCUGCCAAUAAAUAAAGAUGAAAUUUGCUAAUUCU